GUAGGGAUUAUCGUCGCCCUAACCGGAUUAGGGUUUUGCUUGACGGUGGUGGAGCAUGCCAAGGAACAGCUCUUGUGGGCUCUCGUCUCGAGCAUCGUCGCCACGUACACGUACGUGGCCUUCUUCUCCAUUGGGAUCGCCCCGGUCACCUGGGUCUAUAGCUCCGAGAUAUUCCCGCUGAAGCUGAGGGCUCAGGGGAUGGGCAUCGGCGUUGCGGUGAACCGGCUCAUGAACGCGAUCAUUUCGAUGACUUUCCUCUCGAUGUCGGAGGCCAUGACCAUCGGCGGGACCUUCUUCUUGUUUGCUGGCAUGGCCGUGCUGGCUCUGGGAUUUUUCUAUUUCUUAUUGCCCGAGACGAAAGGCAAGCCCUUGGAAGAGAUUGAGAUGCUCUUCACCAGGAAGAACAGUAAGGCCAGGAACAGAGGGAUAGAGAUCCAGCCGAACAGUGUCUAGUGGAGUCUGUAGACGUUUGAAGUAGUGUGGUAUAUUUUGUAGCUUAUACGUUUUUAACAAGUUUCCAAAACUUGGGACAUAUAAAAGCGCUGAAGCUGUGAGUUAUAUCAGAGACCUCGUAAUCUACAUCGAAUUAUGGAGAAAAAAGUGGACAUCAAUCUCGAACUCUUCUGAUCAAUGUCACUGCUGCAGUUUCUCAUUCCCAUCUUUGAAGUGCUCCCGAUCUCCAAAGCUUCGACUCCCUAUCCCAUUUCAAGAACUUUUUACCAGUGUUAAUAUCUUGUACAUGCGAAUGUGGCGACUUAGCAUGAUGGUUUAAAGUCCAGCCAAAUUGAUCGUAAAACGAAGAUAUUAUUGUGCGGUUCGGGAUGUCAUUUUCUAGGGUCGUUCUGAUCUUUCCGCUAAAGCUUUCUGGACCCCACGCUGUUAUGUUGCGUUUUGGAAAUAUCUAGUCCAAAUCGAACCCCGUCGAACCCCUAUUAACGUUGUGGCGCAUCCUUGAUGACCCGAUCUGAUAUCAUAUGCUUGCCCAUCUCUGUACAAGCCACCAACACCUGUGACCCAAUAUGCGUGGCUUUGUUACCGUGAAAUGAGGCCAUCUUGACUCUUGUCUCCAGUUAUCUAGCCAUUCCUGGAGUACUUUUUGGCCCUUGAGGAUCGUAAGCUUUUGAAUUUGGAUCAUUUGAUCACGCAUGUUACCGAAUUUCGGAGGGCUUAUUACUUGGUUUCGGACCCUGUCGUGUGUUGGUUAUGUGUGAUCAUCAUGUGCAUGGGUUGUGACAAGUAAUCCAUGAAAAGAUGGUUCAGACAUCAAGCAGAGUAAAAAAAUGAAAGUUUUAAGGACUAAGACUCCAGUUUCUUAAAGACCAGAGACUCGCAAAUGCGAAAAUCAUUGAGCUCCAAAGGUCCAGAAUGCAAUUGGGUCGGUCUGUAUAUUUGAUAAAUUUUCGGAACAUAUAUUCUAUCCCUGUGCAUUGUUUUGGCCCGCAAAAGGAAAUGAAAAGGAGCAGAACCCCACUAAUCUUUCAAUUUAGAUGAUUGUCUAUACAAACCUUUUCAAUUGUAGCCGAUAUCUUAUUACGAGUAAAUUUCUUGGUUUAUCAACUUUCGUUUUGUCAGAAUUUUCCUGCAAUGAAUUAACUUUCACUAAAAAUUAUUCUUCAGUUUUUAAUCAAAGGAGACAAGGUCAUGUGGCGACUACAGACAUGAAAUAUCACAAGUAAAUAAGGAACUCAACAAUUUCACUUUAGAUAGAAUUGUACAAAUACAAAUCAUGCCAAAAUUUAAUCGACGACUGUCACAACCUUUCUGAGGGUGAAUUACUUAAAGGAGGCUAAUGGAUUACUAAGUCCGAAAACUUAGCACGGACCCUCCCAAGUCUUACCAAUCGCGACUUGAUACUAAGAAAUUAACCCAUUUAAACAUGCAAUUACACUCAAUUUGAAGCCGCCACUAACCAAUUAGGGUUGAUUAGAAACCCAAGUAAAAUAUGAGAGAAUACUUUACUUUUGCGAACCAGAAAUUCAAUAAGUCCGGGAACAUGGUUAUGCUAGAUUAAUCUAACACCCUUUUGGUACAUUUUUAUUUUAAUUUCAAAAAUAUUUUGCACGUAGUCUUGAUUAAUUUUAACCUAAACUACUAAAAUAAAAUUCAAUCAACCGAAGUGAUAAAUUGUAAGAAAUUAUAAACUACAACUUCAUUAAGGUCCACUCUCUAAAGAAAAACUUACAACAAUGCUAAUAAAAAUGCAUGCCCUAAACAUAAUUUCUAAUGACAUGACAUCUAAUUUUUCUUUUUCUUUAAAAAAUGUUAAUUAUAUACAAUCUUAAUCUAAAUUUGAUAUGCAUGAGUUUUACUUUAAUGACAUAUGAGAUGCAAUUCAUGCGACAUAAUUUGAAUCGUCACAAUAUGUGUGCAAUCUAAUUUACAUAAUCCUAAAUAUGCAUGCGGUACAUGAUAUGGGAUGGAUGACAUGGUAAUUCUAUAUGCAUGUUCUCUUUAUGAUUUUUUUAAUGAUUCUUUUAAUACAUAUAUGCAACCCACACUAAACGAUGAUGACAUAAAAUGGGAUUAAUUAUGAACUAGCCUAUUAACUAAGCAAGUAAAUGACCUUCGUGUUUUCUUCUUUUUAAAAUGACUUCAUAAUUCUUUAAAAAAAACAACAUAAUGAUGCAAUACUAAUUUUUGGCUUUUUUAUUAUUAAAAAAAACUACACUGCGGGAAUAUUAAAACAUUAACCUAUGACCCACUAACUAAAGCGCAACAUGUGGUGUGCACAUUAUGAAAUCUAUAUAACCUAAAUAACAUUUUUUGUUCUUUUUUGUUUUGAUUUUAUUAAAGGAAAAUUAUCCUAAUUCUAUAUGAAUCUUAAAAAUUAAAAUGCGUUGCUUUAAAUGCGAAAUGUGUAUGGACCUAAAUACCUAAAUCCUAGAUAUGACAUAUGAUGCAUGAUAUUUGAUGAGCGAAUAACGAUAAUGCACCAAAAUAUGUGUCCUAUUGAAAAUCCAUCAAUGUAAAUCAAUGACAUAUUAUGUGAAUCAGUGAUGCAAAACAAUUCAUGAAUUUGCCAUGAAAAGUCGAAAUAAUCAAAAAUCUAACCCGACGUCUCGCAGCUCAAUAUUUUUUAUUAUUAUGACUUAAUAUGACAAAUUUCCUAAUCAGAUAAUGAUAAAAAUAAAUCAGAACAAAUCAAGUUAAAAUAAAAAAACUAUGAAACAGAAUAUUUGAUCUGAAUUUAGCCUAAAGAAAUUACCUAGUCAAGGGCACAUCCUUUUGUUGCUAAAAACAGCACCUGCACAAAGAGAAAAUAGAGAACAGCCCCAAGGAAAAAUCACGUCUCGAUGUGGGGGUGUAAUUUGGCCGAGUGUGAACGAUGGGAGAGAAACAGUAUCGGAUCAGCCACGUCAAACUCACAGCAACAUUGGUUCGUCCAGUAAUAAAAGUGAUAAAAACCGGUCAACGAAACCACCGAGUUGACACAGAAUUGGACGGUAACUCUGGCAACAGGAACCGGCAAAGGAUCUCCGGAAAACAGUGAUGGCGAGCGGCGGAGGUGCAGACACAGCGGAGGGCAGGUGUCGCUGUCGUCGGAGCUCUGGUGAGAGGUAACAAGCCCGAACCAGCAACGGCAAAGCAGCAACCGUCGCUGGUGCAGGAGCAGCAGAGGGCAAGCGGCUCGGUGAGCGGCUGCUACGGGCGUUGCAGGUGAAGCGGGGCGCGGAGGGGGCGUCGCUCGGGCGCGCAGAGGAGCAGCAACGUCGCAGGCAGAGGCGGCGACUUCUGGCGUCGGGCGUAGCAGAGCAGCGGUGGCAGAAACACGGCGUUGGAGUGGGUGUAGGAGCGGCAGCGGCAGCUCGGCGGAGGCGUCGGCACAAGGGUGCGGUGGCGCGGCUGGGUGAGGAGGAGCCGUCGGUCUGCGGGCAGCAAAUUCCGGCGAGUGCAGGGGGAAGAGGAUGAACAGUAAACGUCCAAUCCAAUCCCCUGCCGAUUAAACUUUUGCUUCUGCUUUUUCCCUUUUUUUAAUUUUUACUCUCUCCCUCUCUACCUUCUUUUGACUUUUUCCGCUUUUCCUCUCCCACGAACCGAAGCUCUCUUCUCUUUUUUUUUUUCUCCUUUCACUUUUCACUUUUUUUCGACGAAGAGAAGCCCCCCUCGUUCCGAAGCCUCGCAUCCUUUAUUUGUUUUUGCAAGUGAGAUAUUCACUUAACCACUUAGACAAAAAAAUAGCUCCAAAAUCACACAAUAACAAAUUUCUUGAAUUUUGAAAUGAGGAGAUAUGUUUAACAAGAAAAAUGCUUUAUUAUUCAAUUUCUUUUCAAAAUCUCCCUCCAAAUGUGUUAUUUUAUAUGUUAUUUAUUACCCUUUAUUUUUAUUUUCUAAAAGAUAAGUUUAAUCCUAAAUUAGGUGUCAACAACGACAUAGAGUCAUUUCAAAGGAAUGGAAUGCGGGCAAAUUAUGCUGGAAUUUAAUUAGCGACAAAGCUUGAAAGUGCAAAAAUACUAUGUUGAAAUUUCAUUAAUGAUGCGACACCCAUGAUAAAGAUACAUGCCGGAAUUUAAUCGAUGACGCAAGUUUAGAAACUAAAGGUAUAGUGUAGAAAAGUAAAGAUAAUUGAAAAUUUUGUUUGUUUGUUUAUGAAGGAGAUCUCCAAUAGACGAUUGGUGGAGGUUAAAGUGGUCAUGCCAUAAUUGCUCCUAAGCGGUUCACGGAGGUUGUAUCCAUGUUCCUCCACCUCCAGAAAUUUUGUGCCCAUUCUUCCACAAGGCCAUGACCUCAUUUCCGAAUGGUUGUUCCUUUAAAAACGUGUGCUUAUUGCUUCACGACCUCAGUGGCUUUCUUCUCUAACAACUUCAAACUUGUAAUCAUUUUUUGAUACUUUCUAUGCGUUCAACUCUAUAUUGAUACCUUAACAAUAUACCAAUAUACAUUUGUCGACUAUUUUUAACCAAAUGACAUUGUACAUCAACAUUCGAUCAGCAAUAAUCAUUAAUAUGGACAAAUAUUGAUAUCGAUCCUUGCGAUCGUCAAUAAUGUGUUGCGUGCUUGAUGACAUUCACGCUUUAAUCACAUGUCUAUCCAUAUUGACAACUUGGUCCGUUUUUGGUGCAAACAACUUUCUCAUGAUCCUUCAAACGCGUAAAGAUCACGUGUUGUUUAUGGACUGCAAAAAGUACAUUUGGUUUGGGCAGAUAUUUGAUUUAGGAGUCCCGCACAGUUGCAUCCUUCCAUAGCCUUGAUGGCUGAUAAAAGGUCCCAACACGAACCAAGAUUUGGUUCAGAGCUUGAUCUUUCUUAGCUUUCCAGUCGGAUUAUGCAAUGCCAAUUCUAUUCAAUCUUUCUAUUUCUUUUCGUCGUUCAGAUUCUUACAUUUGAUUGCUUGAAAUACGCAGAUUCAAGUGGAAAAGAUCUCUUGCAAUCUCUUAGGUGUCCCAUACCAGCGUGCAAGAAAGAAAAGCGGGAAAAUUGUCCAAAAAGUUUUAAAUCUAUUACACUUUUAUCAAUUCAGUCAUAACUUUAUUAACUUUGCCAAUUUAAUACUAAACAUUUUCACUUUUUGCCAAUUGAGUCAAUUCGGCUAAUUUUGGCUGGAAAAUGCUAACAUGGACUCUAGCGGGGCCAUGUAGGACUGCCGGCGCUAACGUAGACAGUUUUUAAUAAUAUUUUAAUAUUUUAAAUAUAUUUUUAUAUAUUCCCCUUUUUUUUUUCCUUUCUUUUCUUUUUGGCUUUCUUCUUUGCCUUUUUCGGUGGUCGGCCGGCCAUAGGCGACGGCCGGCCCAUUGGCCUUGCCCAGGCGCGGCCCAGCAAGGGUCACCUGGGCGAGGCCAACCUAUGCCUAGGCCAGGGCGGCCUCGCCUGGCGUCGCCGUCACCCAACCGACGCAUAACAAGGCCGCCUUGGCCUGGGCGAGGGCAAGCCUUGGCAAGGGCUCUCCUAGCCAGAUCUGGUGAGGUCGGCCCUCGCCAAGGUUAGGGCGACCUUGCCCAGUGUCGCCGUCGUUCGGCCGAUGCCCAGCGAGGCCGCCCUAGCUUGGGCACAAGUCAGCCUCGCCUGGCGGCAUCGUCACCCAACCGACACUCAACAAGGCCACCUUGGCCUGGGCGAGGGCUCUCCUAGCCAAAUUUGGUGAGGUCAGCCCUUGCCUAGGUCAGGGUGACCUUGCCCAGUGUCGCCGUCAUUCGGCUGAUGCCUAGCGAGGCCACCCUAGCUUGGGUGCAGGUCGGCCUCGCUUGGCCUGGGUGAGAGUUGGCCUCACCUAAGCGACCCUUGCCCGGCUGCGCUUGGGCAAGGGCUCCCCUCGUCGAGGCUAGCCCUCGCUCGGCCGGGCCUCACUUGUGGUGGGCAAGGCUAGUUGGCUGGAUGUGGCUGGCGGUCGGCCAUUGGAAAAGGUAAAGAAAAAAGUCAAAAAAAAAAAAGAGGGAAAAAAUAAAAAUAAAAAUAAAAAUAUUAUUAAAAUAUUAUCAAAAAUUGUUUAUGUCAGAGCCAACAGUCCUACGUGCACCGUAGUGUCUACGUUAGCAUUUUCUGGCCAAAAUUGGUCGGAUGAACUUAGUUGGCAAGAAAUGAAAAUAUUUAUGACUGAAUUGACAAAAUUAAAAGGCUUAGAAUUGAAUUGGCAAAAAUAAAGUUUAUGACUUUUUGGACAAUUUGCCCUCCUAACCUUAAUGAUCCAAAUUAAGGUUGUCCGGACCUUCCUGUCCCGUAAUUAAUAGCACCUCGACUUUGUUGGCAACCCCCCUUGUCCCAACUAAUCAUUUGGGAUUACGAUGGAAUCUCUCUUAGAGAAAUUGCUUUGCUGUGCAUUAAUCAAGUCAAAGGUGCCACGUCAGGUCAAAUUGUCCGCUAUCCCUAUCCAAAUCUGAGUGUCUUGACUGACGAUGACGUGGCAAAGUCCGAUUCCAGGUGGCGUUUCACCUCCCGCGAUCUCUAUCCAUUCAUCUUAUUGAGAUCGAAAAUGGAAAGUCAAGAUCAGGCAGGCUACACGCAAGCUGGGUUUCCCUACGAAUUUAGUGAUUUCCUCCUCUAUCCGUUCGAUUCUGCAGGUGGGAUUGUAUCAGGACCGGGGUUUGGCUGCAGUAUUUGGAUAUCUUUCUUGAAUGGGAUACGACCCUCAGCUGGUGUUGCCGUCGAAAGGAACCGCUGCUCGGCGUGCGAUGUGUGGCGUUGUGCUAUAAAAAAGGGUCGGUUAGGACUGCGAUUGUUCAAGGAGCUUUCGAAUAUUGCUAGAGAGAGAAAGAGAGAGAGAGCGAGAGAGAGAGAGAGAAGCAGUGAGAGAGAGAGAGUCAUAAGCAGAAGAUUGCGAUGGGCAUGGAGAAGUUGGGCGAUGGUGGUGGUGAGGCUGAGAAGCCUUCUGGGUUCAACAGAUAUGCCUGUGCUUGUGCCGUCGUUGCGUCGAUGAUCUCCAUUAUUUUUGGCUAUGGUCAUCUCUCUCUCUCUCUCUCUUCCCAUUUGGUUUGCCUUGUCGAGAUCUUACUUUCGUUUCGCUGUUCACUUUGAGGAUGAUGAAACGUGCUGUUCUACUUGUUUAACUGGAACGAGAAAUCUUCGUGUGAUAUACAAGCCAUAGCACUCUUUAUUUUGUCGUACUGAUCAUAUCUGUGAAAGCAAGCCUUCGAAUCAUCCAAGGUUUCUUUUUCACAAGAGAUCAUUUGAUUGGAAUAGUCGUUGUCUAGAAAGUUUAUCCAAAUUCAAGAUAUUAUCUUUUGAAUGAUUGUUUAAUAUGUAUCAACACCUCGCACAAAGUCUUUAAUCUUUUAUAUAUGUAGAAAGUCUCUUAUAAUUUAUUGAUAGCAAAUCGGUGUCUUUUUAACUAAAAGAGAUAUUGUUGAUUAAUUUUAUAGUAAAGUUGUGAUGAUGAAUCAUAUCUAAAUGUGUAGUAUGGAAUAACUAUUUUGAUUAUUGUUCCCAAGUGUGUUUGUGCCAAUAGUUACGUUUUCGUAAAAUUAUUUUGUUUGAAUGAUAUUCAUGACAUAAUCAAGUUGCAAUUUCAAUUAUAGAUUUCAUAAGAUUUUUAGUCUUAAUUAAUUUUGAAAAAUCCUAUGAAGGGGAUAUGUCUUGUCUGAAUGCUGGAUUGUGUACGACCGUGCUAUCCUUCGAAUGAACUUUUGUUGUCCUUUUCUUGCACUGAUUUCAACUUUUAAUUUUGUAACUUUACUCCAGACACUGGUGUUAUGAGUGGGGCCAUGAUCUUCAUAAAAGAGGACCUCAAGAUAAACGACACGCAGAUCGAAAUCCUCGCCGGAAUCCUCAACUUUUGUGCCCUUUUUGGCUCUCUCAUCGCCGGAAGAACGUCUGACUACAUCGGUCGCCGUUACACCAUUGUUCUUGCCUCCGUCAUCUUCUUACUCGGUUCAGUCCUGAUGGGCUAUGGGCCGACCUACGCGAUCUUGAUGACCGGGCGGUGCACCGCUGGCGUCGGGGUGGGCUUCGCCCUGAUGAUCGCACCUGUGUACUCUGCAGAAAUCUCCUCCGCCACACACCGAGGAUUCUUAAGCUCUUUGCCGGAGAUAUGCAUAAGCAUAGGGAUCUUGCUCGGCUAUGUAUCGAAUUACUUUUUUGCGAAAUUGACCCUAAAGCUAGGGUGGAGGAUGAUGCUAGGUGUCGCGGCCAUCCCUUCCCUCGCCUUGGCAUUCGGGAUCCUCAAGAUGCCUGAAUCGCCAAGGUGGUUAAUAUUGCAAGGCCGGCUGGCCGAGGCGAAAAGGGUCUUGCUCCAAGUUUGUAAUUCGGAGCAAGAAGCGGAAACCCGAUUCCAUGACAUAAAAAUAGCAGCUGGGAUCGACGCUAAUUGCAAGGAGGAUGUUGUCAAGCUCCCGAAGAAGACUCGCGGCGAAGAUGUAUGGAAGGAGCUCUUGCUGAGGCCCUCACCCUCAGUGCGGUGGAUCUUGUUGGCCGCGGUCGGGAUCCAUUUCUUCGAGCACGCGACAGGGAUCGAAGCAGUCAUCCUCUACAGCCCGCGGAUUUUCAAGAAAGCCGGAGUGACCAGCAAGAAAAAGCUCUUGCUUGCCACGGUUGGCGUCGGCCUUACAAAGGCCACAUUCGUAAUAACAGCCACGUUUUUGCUCGACAGAGUUGGUAGGAGGCGAUUGCUCCAAGUGAGCUCAGUAGGGAUCAUCGUCGCCCUAACCGGAUUAGGGUUUUGCUUGACGGUGGUGGAGCAUGCCAAGAAACAGCUCUUGUGGGCACUCGUCUCGAGCAUCGUCGCCACAUACACAUACGUGGCCUUCUUCUCGAUCGGGAUCGCCCCGGUCACCUGGGUCUAUAGCUCCGAGAUAUUCCCGCUGAAGCUGAGGGCUCAGGGGAUGGGCAUCGGGGUCGCAGUGAACCGGCUCAUGAACGCGAUCGUUUCGACGACUUUCCUCUCGAUGUCGGAGGCCAUGACCAUCGGCGGGACCUUCUUCAUGUUUGCUGGCAUGGCCGUGCUGGCUCUGGGAUUUUUCUAUUUCUUAUUGCCCGAGACGAAAGGCAAGCCCUUGGAGGAGAUUGAGAUGCUCUUCACCAGGAAGAACAGUAAGGCCAGGAACAGAGGGAUAGAGAUCCAGCC
rnacentral:lncRNA from 1 species